rnacentral:tRNA from 1 species
GAGGGGUUAGUUAAACUAUAACCCUGCCUUGUCAAGGCAGAAUCACAAACUAAACCCUUGUACCCCUCU